UUUUAAUUUCAAGACAAUGUCUCACUAAGUUGCCAAGGCUGGCCUUGAACUUACAACCCUUCUGCCUCAGUCUCCCAAGUUCAGUGGUGUGUCCAGCUGCAUUUGAACAUGUUAGAAAUCAGAACUGGGCUUGUUGGGUCAUGCCUGUAAUCCUACAGUUUGGGAGGCUGGGGCAUGAGGAUCACAAGUUCUAGGCCAGCCUCUACAAUUUAGUGAGGACCUGAGAAACUAAUGAGACCAUGUCUCAAAAUAAAAAAUAAAAAAGGUUGGGGAUGUCGCUCAGUGGUAAAGUGCCCCUGGGUUCAAUUCCAGGUACCAAAAAAAAAAAAAAAUCAGAAAUUAACUAAGCAUGGUAGUUCAUGCCUGUAAUCUCUGUUAUUUGAGAGGCUGAGGCAGGAAGUUUGCAAGUUUAAGACCAACCUUAGCAGCAGCUUUAUGAGACUGUGUCUGAAAAUAAAAAAACAAAAAGGGAUGGAGAUGUGGUAGAGCACUCCUGGUUCAAUCAGUACUGCAGGGAAAAAAUGUUCAAAUGCAAACUGCAGACUCAGUAGUCUGCACAUAGUCAACCUUCAUAUUGGCCAUUCCCUGAAAAUUUAUCACCUGUCAAAAUGAGAGGGGUUAUGCAGAUGUUGCCGCCACACUUAGCUAGAUGUCCUUAGUGUGUGUGUUACUGUGAACUUUGGGAGAAUCUGUUGUAGCUAGGUUGGGGAUAGGAUUGCAUUUUAGGGGCUCUGGAUACCAAUUAUGAAUGGGGCUAAUAUCUGCUAAUGAUAUGUAACAUCUCAGUGGAUGUUUGAAAGACUGGGUGUGUAUUUGUGUUGAGUUCCUGAGGGUUGUCAAAGGCACUGCUUAAUUUAAAAAAUGCUUUGCAAGCUGGGCAUGGUGGUGCACACCUUUAAUCUCGGCAACUCGGGAGGCUGAGGCAAAAGAAUCACAAGUUUGAAGUUAACCUGGGAAAUUUAUCAAGACCCUGUCCCAAAAUCUUAAAAAAGGGGUGGGGGUGGGGAUGUAGUUCAUGGCUAAAAACCCCCUGAGUUCUAUCUCCAGUACCAAAAAAACCCAAAAUACUUUUACAAAUGUGUCAGUGAAAUAAAGCUGAGUGAUGGCAUGUGGACAAUGAAUUAAUUAGGCUUCAAUUAAGUUUAAAAAGAACUUUGGAGAAGUUUACUAAUUCUGAUAAUCAUCAAUAAUACACCAGACAUUCCUUGUACCCUUCCUCCCAUCAUAUGAAAGUUAUCAGAACCAAAAUGGAGUCACUCAUGCCAAAUCUUAACAAAAUAGUGUUAGGAUACCAUAAGGAAGAGGGCUCUCACACACACUUGUAUAUGACCAAAACUAUUUCAAGGUCUCUCUGAAAACCAUAACCUUGCACAAAGGCCUCCACAACCUUAUACAACUUACCAUACUUCAAUAAAGAUGCCUACCCAGCAACUGCCUAUUCAGUGUUGGACCAAUGUAACCCUUGUUGGUGAUACUUGUAACCAAGGAUAAUCAUUUCAAAACAAUUUAUGUUACCUUUCUCAUUUUGCCUUUAAAAAUCCUUGUCUUCCUGCCAUGCAUGGUGUGCACACCUGUAAUCCCAGUGACUCUGGAGGCCAAUGCAGGAGAAUCACAAUUUCAAAGCCAGCCUGGGCUAAAUAGCAAGACCCUGUCUCAUUCGUAAGUAAGUAAGUAAGUAAAUAAAUAAAUAAGUAAAUAAAUGGAGUAGGGAUAUAGCUCAGUAGUAGAGUGCCCCUGGGUUUAGGACCAUACGUACUUACAAAAUGCCCUUAUCUUCAUUUGCCUCCCUAGGUGUGACUGUGAUUCAUCA
rnacentral:lncRNA from 1 species